AUUGAACGCUGGCGGCAGGCCUAACACAUGCAAGUCGAACGAGUGGCGGACGGGUGAGUAAUGUCUGGGAAACUGCCCGAUGGAGGGGGAUAACUACUGGAAACGGUAGCUAAUACCGCAUACCAUCGGAUGUGCCCAGAUGGGAUUAGCUAGUAGGUGGGGUAACGGCUCACCUGGGCGACGAUCCCUAGCUGGUCUGAGAGGAUUACCAGCCACACUGGAACUGAGACACGGUCCAGACUCCUACGGGAGGCAGCAGUGGGGAAUAUUGCACAAUGGGAGCAAGCCUGAUGCAGCCAUGCCGCAUGUAUGAAGAAGGCCGUCGGGUUGUAAAGUACUUUCAGCGAGGAGGCGUUACUCGCAGAAGAAGCAUCGGCUAACUCCGUGCCAGCAGCCGCGGUAAUUC
rnacentral:rRNA from 1 species